UCUUGGUCAUUUAGAGGAAGUAAAAGUCGUAACAAGGUCUCCGUUGGUGAACCAGCGGAGGGAUCAUUACCGAGUUUACAACUCCCAAACCCCUGUGAACAUACCACUUGUUGCCUCGGCGGAUCAGCCCGCUCCCGGUAAAACGGGACGGCCCGCCAGAGGACCCCUAAACUCUGUUUCUAUAUGUAACUUCUGAGUAAAACCAUAAAUAAAUCAAAACUUUCAACAACGGAUCUCUUGGUUCUGGCAUCGAUGAAGAACGCAGCAAAAUGCGAUAAGUAAUGUGAAUUGCAGAAUUCAGUGAAUCAUCGAAUCUUUGAACGCACAUUGCGCCCGCCAGUAUUCUGGCGGGCAUGCCUGUUCGAGCGUCAUUUCAACCCUCAAGCACAGCUUGGUGUUGGGACUCGCGUUAAUUCGCGUUCCCCAAAUUGAUUGGCGGUCACGUCGAGCUUCCAUAGCGUAGUAGUAAAACCCUCGUUACUGGUAAUCGUCGCGGCCACGCCGUUAAACCCCAACUUCUGAAUGUUGACCUCGGAUCAGGUAGGAAUACCCGCUGAACUUAAGCAUAUCAAUAAGCGGAGGAA
rnacentral:rRNA from 2 species